UACGUGAGGGUGCAAGCGUUAAUCGGAAUUACUGGGCGUAAAGCGUGCGCAGGCGGUUUUGUAAGUCGUGUCGUGAAAGCCCCGGGCUCAACCUGGGAAUUGCGAUGGAGACUGCAUAGCUAGGGUGCGGAAGAGGGAAGCGGAAUUUCCGGUGUAGCGGUGAAAUGCGUAGAUAUCGGAAGGAACAUCAGUGGCGAAAGCGGCUUCCUGGUCCAGCACCGACGUCAGGCACGAAAGCGUGGGGAGCAAACAGG
rnacentral:rRNA from 1 species